AUUGAACGCUGGCGGCAGGCUUAACACAUGCAAGUCGAGCGGAGAGAGGUAGCUUGCUACUGAUCUUAGCGGCGGACGGGUGAGUAAUGCUUAGGAAUCUGCCUAUUAGUGGGGGACAACAUUUCGAAAGGAAUGCUAAUACCGCAUACGUCCUACGGGAGAAAGCAGGGGAUCUUCGGACCUUGCGCUAAUAGAUGAGCCUAAGUCGGAUUAGCUAGUUGGUGGGGUAAAGGCCUACCAAGGCGACGAUCUGUAGCGGGUCUGAGAGGAUGAUCCGCCACACUGGGACUGAGACACGGCCCAGACUCCUACGGGAGGCAGCAGUGGGGAAUAUUGGACAAUGGGCGCAAGCCUGAUCCAGCCAUGCCGCGUGUGUGAAGAAGGCCUUAUGGUUGUAAAGCACUUUAAGCGAGGAGGAGGCUACUUUAGUUAAUACCUAGAGAUAGUGGACGUUACUCGCAGAAUAAGCACCGGCUAACUCUGUGCCAGCAGCCGCGGUAAUACAGAGGGUGCAAGCGUUAAUCGGAUUUACUGGGCGUAAAGCGCGCGUAGGCGGCUAAUUAAGUCAAAUGUGAAAUCCCCGAGCUUAACUUGGGAAUUGCAUUCGAUACUGGUUAGCUAGAGUGUGGGAGAGGAUGGUAGAAUUCCAGGUGUAGCGGUGAAAUGCGUAGAGAUCUGGAGGAGUACCGAUGGCGAAGGCAGCCAUCUGGCCUAACACUGACGCUGAGGUGCGAAAGCAUGGGGAGCAAACAGGAUUAGAUACCCUGGUAGUCCAUGCCGUAAACGAUGUCUACUAGCCGUUGGGGCCUUUGAGGCUUUAGUGGCGCAGCUAACGCGAUAAGUAGACCGCCUGGGGAGUACGGUCGCAAGACUAAAACUCAAAUGAAUUGACGGGGGCCCGCACAAGCGGUGGAGCAUGUGGUUUAAUUCGAUGCAACGCGAAGAACCUUACCUGGCCUUGACAUAGUAAGAACUUUCCAGAGAUGGAUUGGUGCCUUCGGGAACUUACAUACAGGUGCUGCAUGGCUGUCGUCAGCUCGUGUCGUGAGAUGUUGGGUUAAGUCCCGCAACGAGCGCAACCCUUUUCCUUAUUUGCCAGCGGGUAAUGUCGGGAACUUUAAGGAUACUGCCAGUGACAAACUGGAGGAAGGCGGGGACGACGUCAAGUCAUCAUGGCCCUUACGGCCAGGGCUACACACGUGCUACAAUGGUCGGUACAAAGGGUUGCUACCUAGCGAUAGGAUGCUAAUCUCAAAAAGCCGAUCGUAGUCCGGAUUGGAGUCUGCAACUCGACUCCAUGAAGUCGGAAUCGCUAGUAAUCGCGGAUCAGAAUGCCGCGGUGAAUACGUUCCCGGGCCUUGUACACACCGCCCGUCACACCAUGGGAGUUUGUUGCACCAGAAGUAGCUAGCCUAACUGCAAAGAGGGCGGUUACCACGGUGUGGCCGAUGACUGGGGUG
rnacentral:rRNA from 1 species